rnacentral:rRNA from 1 species
AGUGAACGCUGGCGGUAGGCCUAACACAUGCAAGUCGAACGGCAGCACAGAGGAGCUCGCUCCUUGGGUGGCGAGUGGCGGACGGGUGAGGAAUACAUCGGAAUCUACUCUGUCGUGGGGGAUAACGUAGGGAAACUUACGCUAAUACCGCAUACGACCUACGGGUGAAAGCAGGGGAUCUUCGGACCUUGCGCGAGUGAAUGAGCCGACGUCGGAUUAGCUAGUUGGCGGGGUAAAGGCCCACCAAGGCGACGAUCCGUAGCUGGUCUGAGAGGAUGAUCAGCCACACUGGAACUGAGACACGGUCCAGACUCCUACGGGAGGCAGCAGUGGGGAAUAUUGGACAAUGGGCGCAAGCCUGAUCCAGCCAUACCGCGUGGGUGAAGAAGGCCUUCGGGUUGUAAAGCCCUUUUGUUGGGAAAGAAAUCCAUCUGGUUAAUACCCGGGUGGGAUGACGGUACCCAAAGAAUAAGCACCGGCUAACUUCGUGCCAGCAGCCGCGGUAA